rnacentral:rRNA from 1 species
CAUAGCCACAAGCUAUUACUUGUGGUGUUUUCUGCUCAAUGAGACAUUAAAUAGCCGCAGUACACUGACUGUGCAAAGGUAGCGUAAUAAUUUGUCUUCUAAUUAAAGUCUAGUAUGAAUGAAUAUAUGGGGGCCUACUAUACCAGCAACAUAGUAGGAAAUUAUUUAAUGAGUGCAAAUGCUCAUGAGGUAAUAAUAGACGAGAAGACCCUAGAAAUUUGUAUCGUUGUUUUGUUGGGGCAACAGGGUAGCAAUUAAUCUACUUGUGUAUAUGAAAUAAGUUUGUAAAAUUAAAUUACUCUAGGGAUAACAGCAUAAUGUAUAAAUGUUUGUGACCUCGAUGUUGGAUUAGGGAUUUGUAACUUAGAAGGUGACCAAUAAAGCUCUGUUCGAG